rnacentral:rRNA from 1 species
ACAGAGGUCUCAAGCGUUGGUCGGAUUCAUUGGGCGUAAAGGGUGCGUAGGUGGCGAGGUAAGUUGGAUGUGAAAUCCCGGGGCUCAACCCCGGAACUGCAUUCAAUACUGCCUUGCUAGAGUACUGGAGAGGAGAUUGGAAUUUACGGUGUAGCAGUGAAAUGCGUAGAUAUCGUAAGGAAGACCAGUGGCGAAGGCGGAUCUCUGGACAGUUACUGACACUGAGGCACGAAGGCCAGGGGAGCAAACGGG